UGAAGCUUUGACUUUUCUCACGUGAGUGAGAACUGGGAAGUGGAGAAAGCUUUGUCUUUAAACGUAUAUCUUUGACAGUUUCGUGACAUAAAACAUUGACCGAAUAGGUCCAUGAGAUAUCGGGUCGGGUCGGGCGUAUCACUUUACGUACGGCUAAUGCACGGCGCAAUACGUGGUCCGAUGAAUGCGGCAAUAUGGGUCCUUAAUUUUUUUUGCUUUUUUUUUUUCUGAAACUUGUUGAAUUUGUUUCUAAUUAAAAAUUCACUUUCUUCUAUGUAAGUGGGAGUCUUUCUCUACCUCCUAAAGCGAAAUCU